rnacentral:rRNA from 1 species
AUUGAACGCUGGCGGAAUGCUUUACACAUGCAAGUCGAACGGCAGCACGGGGGCAACCCUGGUGGCGAGUGGCGAACGGGUGAGUAAUACAUCGGAACGUGCCCAAUCGUGGGGGAUAACGUAGCGAAAGCUACGCUAAUACCGCAUACGAUCUACGGAUGAAAGCGGGGGAUCGCAAGACCUCGCGCGAAUGGAGCGGCCGAUGGCAGAUUAGGUAGUUGGUGGGGUAAAGGCUCACCAAGCCAACGAUCUGUAGCUGGUCUGAGAGGACGACCAGCCACACUGGGACUGAGACACGGCCCAGACUCCUACGGGAGGCAGCAGUGGGGAAUUUUGGACAAGGGGCGCAAGCCUGAUCCAGCCAUUCCGCGUGCAGGAUGAAGGCCUUCGGGUUGUAAACUGCUUUUGUACGGAACGAAACGGUCUGGGUUAAUACCCUGGGCUAAUGACGGUACCGUAAGAAUAAGCACCGGCUAACUACGUGCCAGCCGCCGCGGUAAUAC